rnacentral:rRNA from 1 species
UACGUAGGGGGCUAGCGUUGUCCGGAAUCAUUGGGCGUAAAGAGCGUGUAGGCUGCUCGGUAAGUCCGCUGUAAAAGUCAAAGGCUCAACCUUUGAAUGUCAGUGGAUACUGCCGGGCUAGAGUCCGGAAGAGGCGAGUGGAACUCCUGGUGUAGCGGUGGAAUGCGUAGAUAUCAUCUGGAACGCCAAUGGUGAAAACAGCUCGCUGGGGGUUUGCAGACGCUGAGACGCGAAAGCGUGGGGAGCAAACAGG